rnacentral:rRNA from 1 species
UGAGGAAUAUUGCUCAAUGGACGAAAGUCUGAAGCAGCAACGCCGCGUGAGGGAUGAAGGUGCUCUGCAUCGUAAACCUCUGUAGUCGGGGACAAACUUCGAGUUACUACUCGAUUGAUGGUACCCGAAAAGUAAGGAUCGGCUAACUACGUGCCAGCAGCCGCGGUAAUACGUAGGAUCCAAGCGUUGUCCGGAUUUACUGGGUGUAAAGGGUGCGCAGGCGGACUCAUAAGUCAGGAGUGAAAUCUCGGCGCUUAACGCCGAAACUGCUUUUGAUACUGUGGGUCUUGAAUAAGCGAGAGAUUCGUGGAAUUCCGAGUGUAGCAGUGAAAUGUGUAGAUAUUCGGAAGAACACCAGUGGCGAAGGCAGCGAAUUGGCGCUUUAUUGACGCUCAGGCACGAAAGCAUGGGGAUCAAACAGGAUUAGAUACCCGGGUAGUCC